GACAUGGGUACGGUCACCCUAAGCUUUUCCCAGCUAUUAUUGAGAGAAUACCUUCAUUAUGCAAAAAAUAAUAAUCUUACACAAAGUUGUUUUUCUUCUCUCAUUUGUCUCCCUGCCAGCACCUGGCAGAGCUUUCCGUUGAAAGAGGACUCGCCUAAAACAGUUUGGUUGUUUGGUUUUAAUGGAGAUUUCAGAGUGAGAAGGAGAUUCCCUGUAGACUGAAUGAGAACCUGAAGGCCCAGAGCCCUGAGGAGGAGGUGUCAGCCACAGCCCCAGAAGGACAGUGCCCCGCCCCCCAGCAGAGCCAGCCUAUCACAGAGGAGAGACCGUCCUUUGGUGGGAACAGGAAGAAGUAGGAGGCUGGAGCUCCGUCGAUUCUCUCUGUAGCCCAGCAGACACCAGAAUAGAACUGUAUCAGAACGACUGGCUCGGUCUCCAGAAGAGAGAUUGUCCUCUGGUGGGGACAGGAAGAAAUGGGAGGCUGGACCUCCACCCAUUCUCUCCAUAGCUCAGCAGACCAUAGAGGACCGCUGAGCAGACAGUGGGCGAGGUCAUUCGGAUGGACGAUGUCCCCAGAAAAGCGUUUCUCAGCUGCUGGGGAACGUCGGCAUCUGUGAAGAGAAACUCACCGAUCCAGCAGACUUGGAGUCAGUGGUCCUGGAGGCGGGCAAAAAGCGGGCUGCAAAUCCCCCAGCUGGCGUAGAGCAGGCAUGGGAGGAACAGGCCCUGCUGCUGAGGCCACCAGGGGGCAGAGUAACACCAGCAGAAACCAAGGGGUUUGGGGAGAGGGCAGAGAAAUAACCCAAAUCGUCAGCUAUAGUGCCAGUGUGUGAGAAACCUCUGUUUGUGAAGCCGUGCUCCUCGCCGGCCCACCGUCGUACUGCAACUCUGGUUCUUAUGUCAGCCCAGUCGUCCAUGGAGGACUCGUCCUCCUCUCUGGCCUCACGCUCUCGCUCAGUCUCUCCGCUCCGCUCACAACAGCGCCCUCUUCAUCGGUUCGAAGCCUCCGUUGAUGUACAAGUACACCCUCUGGACAGGACGCUGGUCUAUCGCAAGAAAUCAAGAUUGUGUUUAGAGAUGCUGCGGACCUGUUCUCUCCUAGACCUCAGCAGACUGUUCAGCUCAUUACAGGAGGCAGGAGGGGGCAACGGGGCUGUUGCCCCCGACAACAACAACAACCUGGCGAUAGAGACAAUGGAGGAAGAAGAGGCCAAGGAGGAUGAACAAUCAGAGAAUGAGGAGAUGAUGACCUGAGGGAGUUAAGGGCCUCCAUAGAAAGACUCCUACAUGAGGAGCGCAACGAGGAAGAGGAGAGGGGUUAUGAAGAUGGUAACGGGAGCCCUCCAGAGGAAGAGGGAGGAGAUUGCUUCAACGGCAACCCUGCUUUGGAUGAUGAUGAUGGUGAUGAUGAUGAUGACGAUUCUGCUGAGGUAGAGGAGGAGCUGAACGGGAUGGCUGAGGAUGAGGAGGAGAGUUCUAAUUGGAUUCCAGGUGAUGAGGAGGCAGGACACAUACUCACCAACGGACUGGAAGAAAGGAGCACCACAGCAGUGAGAGCCAGCUCCAUGAAGAAUGGAAGACGAGGAGCACCACAGCAGUGAGAGCCAGCUCCAUGAAGAAUGGAAGACGAGGAGCACCACAGCAGUGAGCGCCAGCUCCAUGAAGAAUGGAAGAAGAGGAGCACCACAGCAGUGAGAGCCAGCUCCAUGAAGAAUGGAAGAAGAGGAGCACCACAGCAGUGAGAGCCAGCUCCAUGAAGAAUGGAAGAAGAGGAGCACUACAGCAGUGAGAGCCAGCUCCAUGAAGAAUGGAAGAAGAGGAGCACCACAGCAGUGAGAGCCAGCUCCAUGAAGAAUGGAAGAAGAGGGGCACCACAGCAGUGAGAGCCAACUCCAUGAAGAAUGGAAGAAGAGGAGCACCACAGCAGUGAGAGCCAACUCCAUGAAGAAUGGAAGAAGAGGAGCACAACAGCAGUGAGAGCCUUUUCCAUGGGGAAUGGCAAUCAGACGACAGUGGUGAGGAGGAGGAUGUUGAAGCUGAACAGCAGGACAGCAUCUACAGCCGUCUGGAGGAGCUGCGUUUGAACCUGGAGCAGGAGAUAGGCUUUGAGAACUUUAUAGAGGCCUACAACACGAUCAAGGAUGGGACAUGCUGACCCUCUACCCUCAUGAUGUCAUUUAUGAUCUAUCGUCCAGAAAUGACGGAUGGUAAUUGAAUGUUCAUGUCAUUGUACCAUUAAAGGCAAUUCAUGAGGUUGAGGAUGAGAACAUCAACAUGUUAUUGAACAACAUCCUGGGGACUGAGCACCAGCACCUGUACCCCAACAUCCUUCACCUGGUCAUGGCUGAUGGAGCCUACCAAGAGGAUAAUGAUGAAAUUGGGAUGUGUGUCCAAGCCGCUGGCAACUUUUGACAAUCUACUAGCCAUCCGAUGUCUUCCGAUGGUUGGAGAGGGGUUGGAGCCAGGCCCAGGCACACUUGCAUGGGUGCACCUCAGCCACGGGUGCACCUCAGCCACGCUCAAGGUACUAAACGAUAUCAUAACCGCCAUUGAUAAAAGACAGUACUGUGCAGCCGUCUUCAUCGACCUGG